rnacentral:rRNA from 1 species
CGAACGGGUGAGUAACACGUGAGUAACCUGCCCUUGACUCUGGGAUAAGCCUGGGAAACUGGGUCUAAUACCGGAUAUGACCGUCUGACGCAUGUCAGGUGGUGGAAAGCUUUUGUGGUUUUGGAUGGACUCGCGGCCUAUCAGCUUGUUGGUGGGGUAAUGGCCUACCAAGGCGACGACGGGUAGCCGGCCUGAGAGGGUGACCGGCCACACUGGGACUGAGACACGGCCCAGACUCCUACGGGAGGCAGCAGUGGGGAAUAUUGCACAAUGGGCGCAAGCCUGAUGCAGCGACGCCGCGUGAGGGAUGACGGCCUUCGGGUUGUAAACCUCUUUCAGUAGGGAAGAAGCGAAAGUGACGGUACCUGCAGAAGAAGCGCCGGCUAACUACGUGCCAGCAGCCGCGGUAAUACGUAGGGCGCAAGCGUUAUCCGGAAUUAUUGGGCGUAAAGAGCUCGUAGGCGGUUUGUCGCGUCUGCUGUGAAAGACCGGGGCUCAACUCCGGUUCUGCAGUGGGUACGGGCAGACUAGAGUGCAGUAGGGGAGACUGGAAUUCCUGGUGUAGCGGUGAAAUGCGCAGAUAUCAGGAGGAACACCGAUGGCGAAGGCAGGUCUCUGGGCUGUAACUGACGCUGAGGAGCGAAAGCAUGGGGAGCGAACAGGAUUAGAUACCCUGGUAGUCCAUGCCGUAAACGUUGGGCACUAGGUGUGGGGGACAUUCCACGUUUUCCGCGCCGUAGCUAACGCAUUAAGUGCCCCGCCUGGGGAGUACGGCCGCAAGGCUAAAACUCAAAGGAAUUGACGGGGGCCCGCACAAGCGGCGGAGCAUGCGGAUUAAUUCGAUGCAACGCGAAGAACCUUACCAAGGCUUGACAUGAACCGGUAAUACCUGGAAACAGGUGCCCCGCUUGCGGUCGGUUUACAGGUGGUGCAUGGUUGUCGUCAGCUCGUGUCGUGAGAUGUUGGGUUAAGUCCCGCAACGAGCGCAACCCUCGUUCUAUGUUGCCAGCGCGUUAUGGCGGGGACUCAUAGGAGACUGCCGGGGUCAACUCGGAGGAAGGUGGGGACGACGUCAAAUCAUCAUGCCCCUUAUGUCUUGGGCUUCACGCAUGCUACAAUGGCCGGUACAAAGGGUUGCGAUACUGUGAGGUGGAGCUAAUCCCAAAAAGCCGGUCUCAGUUCGGAUUGGGGUCUGCAACUCGACCCCAUGAAGUCGGAGUCGCUAGUAAUCGCAGAUCAGCAACGCUGCGGUGAAUACGUUCCCGGGCCUUGUACACACCGCCCGUC